AGAAGACUUUGUUGUCAUUUAUUUCUUACAUUUUCAAGAAACUACAAUGUCAUCGUCCGAUCCUCUUCGGAAUUUUGCACAUGGAUUUUCUCAAAGUGUUCUAUCAGACUAUGUUGCUCAUGGGUAUUAUAGACUAUUAUAGGUUCAUAUCUAGAUGUGUCCAUGUGGCUCUAUAUUGAGCUACCCCUACAAAUGGUGUCCAAACGAGUCGCUCAUCUACCCUUUACCGUAUACAACUGUCUCUCUCACAAUUUACUAUACAUUAACAGUAACAGAUCCCGUGAUCAGUACACCCGUUAAGUAUAACACUAACGGAUCGGAUCCAGUGAACAGUGUAACCGUUAUCCUCCAGUAAACAGUAUGCCCGUUAU
rnacentral:lncRNA from 1 species